rnacentral:rRNA from 1 species
GAGUUUGAUCAUGGCUCAGAACGAACGCUGGCGGCGUGGAUAAGACAUGCAAGUCGAACGGGAGAAUUGCUAGCUUGCUAAUAAUUCUCUAGCGGCGCAUGGGUGAGUAACACAUGAGUAACCUGCCCCCGAGAGCGGGAUAGCCCUGGGAAACUGGGAUUAAUACCGCAUAGUAUCGAAAGAUUAAAGCAGCAAUGCGCUUGGGGAUGGGCUCGCGGCCUAUUAGUUAGUUGGUGAGGUAACGGCUCACCAAGGCGAUGACGGGUAGCCGGUCUGAGAGGAUGUCCGGCCACACUGGAACUGAGACACGGUCCAGACACCUACGGGUGGCAGCAGUCGAGAAUCAUUCACAAUGGGGGAAACCCUGAUGGUGCGACGCCGCGUGGGGAAUGAAGGUCUUCGGAUUGUAAACCCCUGUCAUGUGGGAGCAAAUUAAAAGAUAGUACCACAAGAGGAAGAGACGGCUAACUCUGUGCCAGCAGCCGCGGUAAC